CAGUCGCCGCGGGAAUACGUAGGUGGCAAGCGUUGUCCGGAAUUAUUGGGCGUAAAGCGCACGUAGGCGGCUCCGCAAGUCGGAUGUGAAAUCCCUCGGCUUAACCAAGGAAGUGCAUCCGAAACUGCAGAGCUUGAGUACUUAAGAGGAUCGCGGAAUUCCCGGUGUAGAGGUGAAAUUCGUAGAUAUCGGGAGGAACACCAGUGGCGAAGGCGGCGAUCUGGGAAGAUACUGACGCUGAGGUGCGAAAGCGUGGGGAGCAAACAGGAUUAGAUACCCCCGUAGUCCCUGUCUCUUAUAC
rnacentral:rRNA from 1 species